rnacentral:rRNA from 1 species
AAUCAACGCUGGCGGCGUGCCUAACACAUGCAAGUCGAACGCGAAAGUCCCGCAAGGGAUAAGUAGAGUGGCAAACGGGUGAGUAACACGUGGGUGACCUGCCUUCGAGUGGGGGAUAACGUCCCGAAAGGGACGCUAAUACCGCAUAACAUCCUGCCUUUGAAGAGGUGGAGAUCAAAGCUGGGGACCGCAAGGCCUGGCACUGGAAGAGGGGCCCGCGUCUGAUUAGCAGUUGGUGAGGUAACGGCUCACCAAGGCUACGAUCAGUAUCCGGCCUGAGAGGGCGGACGGACACACUGGGACUGAGACACGGCCCAGACUCCUACGGGAGGCAGCAGGUGGGGAAUUGUUCGCAAUGGGCGCAAGCCUGACGACGCAACGCCGCGUGGAGGA